UUCAGUGGAGCUUGGCAAAAUAUUCUGAGUGGUCCAUAAAGCCAGUCUCAAGGAACAUGGCCAGCAAUCUAUAUCACAAUGUUCCAGGGCCUGCAGGCUCCAACAGUCAAGUUUAUCUGACAAUCUAGUGGGCAGGAGCCCAGGAUCAAAAGGCUCUGAGCAAUAUUAAUAAGUGUGGCAACACCUUGAUUUCAGUGAGAUCUAGGAGGAACCCAAGCCCAGCCAAUAGCUGGAAGUACAAGGGACAGUGUACAACUCCUUCAAGGAAGGGGAUCUGGUCCCCUUCGUACUGCCUGACUUCCUGAGGAAACUUAGCUGGACACCAUCUGGCUUCCCACUUCCAACUCUAGCCUGGACAUGGAAGAAAGAGGUCAAGCAGCCUGCAGCCCAGCAGAAGCUGGAGGAGAAAGAGAUUUGCGACUUCCUUUUCCACUCCAACGCCACUUAAACAAGGAGAAAGGUAUUGUAAAUAAAAUAAGUCAAAGGUUCCUGUAUAGCAGCAUGAAAAAUAUCGCCAUUGAUUUUAAGUUCAGAAUGAGAAUAAAAGGCGGUUCAAGUUUAGAGUCUGGCACUGGGAGUGGUGAUGGCACUGCUCAGACACUGCACAUCUAUCCAUAUGUACAUGUAUAAAAGAGCCUGUCAACCUAAGAGAUGUUUCUCAUUUCUGACAUUCUUUAAAAGGGAGAGGUAUGUUACCUUGAAAACUAACCAUGUCAUAAAAAACAAAGAAAGGCCGUGAAAAUGUUCCAGAUUAAAAGAGGCUAAAGAGACACAACAACUAAAUGCUGUAUCUGACCCUGUCCUGGGUCCAGUUAUUGAAAUGAGAACAAAUUAUUGAUACGAAUGUGUUAUAUUAGUAUUAAAGUGAUAGAAGUUGAUCCCUCUGUUGUGAUUAGUUGAGAAAUUAACCUGUUCUUAGGAAACAACACACUGAAGUAUUUAAGGGUAAAGCCUCAUGAUGCAUGUAAUUUACCCUCCAAUGCUUCAGAAAAACCCCCUGUGUGUGUGUAGAUAACAUGAUUCAUGGAUAGAUAGAUAUGGAUAUAAAGGAAACAAAGUAAAAUAUUUACAGUAAGGGAGUCUAAGUAAGACAUUUACAGAUGUUAUUUUUUAAGAUUUUGGGGGGGUUUUUUUGCAGAUGUUGUUUAUGCUGUUUUUAUUCCUGCGACUUUUCUGUUAAUCUGAAAUUAUUUUCAAAUAUUUUUUUUAGAAAAUCAUGUGUGAGCAAAAUUUCGCUUUUGUGAUAUUUAAGUUCGAUUUGCUCUAUCUUCAGUAAUCAUGUCCUGACUAUAUUUUAAAAGCUAUAUGAUUUUUUAAAAAAAGAAAUAGGCAUAGCAUUGUCUUAAUUCAGAAGAGAGGGCAUAAACACAGAAAAAGAUAGAAAUGCUAACAAGCAGCAAAUGCCAAAAUCCAAAUGAGUAAUGGCAACAAGCGGGAAGGCAAAAUGUGAUUUCAGGGCUUUAGAGAAGAGAUGGAAUUGGAGUCAGGCCUGUGACUGGGGGAAGGGUCUAGAAAGGAGCAGAAGUGAGGAGAGGACACUCCAAGUGAAGAGUACAGUGGAGCUAAGGUGUGGAGUUGGGAAAGCACAUUCUGUAUGAUUCGAGAGGUUUCAUGGGGGGAAGGGGGGAUGCGGCAAAGGUCAGGUAUCAGUGAGGUGGCGGCCAACCAGGGAUGCCUGGAAAUGCCAGUUUAAGGAGUUUGGGCUUUACUCCAGAGGUCAGAGGUCAGCAAACACUUAGAAAUGGCUGGCCCCUCUUUCUUCUGGACAACCACAGAUAGAGCUGGGAGUGGGCUGUGCCAAUGAUUAUGCAAAGAUGACGAGAGGACUCACAUAGUUAAGGAACAUGUCCUUCGUAGAGCCUACCAACCAGAAAUCCAUUCGAAAACAGAACUAUCUUUGGGCAGCUAAUUUGGUACUUCUUGUUCACAAUUGAGUGCACUUCAUCAGAUAAUCGUGUCUUGCUUUGAACAUGUGGCUAUUUCAGCUACGUUAUUAACCAUGCUGAGGGAAUGGAAAUUUUUAAAGAAGGAUGGAGAGCAGUAAUUUUUGAGAGUUGCAUGAGGGAAGACUGAGAGGGCAGGUUUAUUAAUCAGGGUAGUUAAUGCUAGCUGCUGUAACCAAAAAAAACAUAGUGAUUAACAUAGUAGUGUUCUAUUUAUCAUUCAUUCAUGUCAUGGUCUGGUAUAAGUGGGACAGCUCUCCUUAGUAGGUCCCCUCCAAUCAGGUGACUCAGGAAUCCAGGCAACUUCUGUCUUGUGAUGCCACCAUAUUAAACACAUGGCCUCUGAAGUCACUAUGGCAAGGAAAGAUUGAGAGGGAUGAUCGAUCGCACCAGGAGUUUUGUGGUCAGGGAAGGAGGUGAUGUAUAUCACUUUUGACCAUGUGUCAGAGCCUAGUCACAUAGGCUCAAGCAGACUGCAAAAUCCAAUGGAAUAUGUAGUUGUUCUGUGUCCCCGGGAAGAGGAAAUAAAACGGUGAAUUUGGGGUUCCCCCAAGAGCCAACUCUCAGACAAGCAUAUGGGUACCAAUAGUUUAGGCAAAAGGUUAUCUGGGAACAUCAGUAGGAGAGUAGGGAAGUGAGAUAGAGGGAAAGAAGCCUAUGCAGAGUAUGUUAAUGAGCAUCCUCUGGGCACCUUAGACUCAAUCGUCCUGGGGGCUAUUAGGAGACUUUAUAAAAUUAGCAUUGAGUUGUUCCACCUGAGAGGUGAGCAAGUUGUGCUAUUUAUCCACCAACUUCUGUCCUUCUUUGGUUGAAGGCUGCUCCCGAGGAAAUUAACUCUCUGGCAUUUCUGGCAAGCAGGCAAGCAUGCUCCAGCUGCCAGAGAAAGUCCUCAGGCAGAGAGUACAUGUGCUUGGGUAUGACGCCAGCAGUGUGUACAGAACGGUGAGUGCUGAAUGUGUGUGAAAGGGACAUCAACAGCAUCUGCUAUAGUGAGCACCCACCCAUAGCUUGUAGCCUUUUGCUGCCGCAGUAAUAACCCUGAUAGAAGAGCUCCCAGGAGGCCAGAGUACAGCCCUGGGGCUAUGCCUCUAGGGUGAGUCCUAGAAAUGCAUAUUUAAUAAGCUCCCCAGGUGGGUCCAAAGCAGUCCAUUUAUAGAUGAGCAUGUGGAAGUACCUCCCAUUCUCUAUUCAAACUUCCUUCAUCUCACUUCUCUUGCAAACCACUAGUGAAACCACUUUCCUUGGUCACCGCUGGCCUCCACUUCAAAUUUCAUUGUCUCCUCAAGUCCUCAACUUAGGCACUUGAUAAAUGUUAUUAUUCCCUUCUGGAAACACUCUCCUUCCUUCUGGACACCGCUCCCCGCUCCCCACUCUUCUAGUGCUUCCCCGGCUCUCCUGGGUGCUUUCUCUAUAACCAGAGCCCCUGACUCUUCCUUGGAUGCCUGCAAUUGUUCCUGAUCACUACAGCCAGACUUGGGGAAGAAACCAGAAAUGAUAAGUGGAUUUAUUGGCAAGGGUUCCCUGAAGCCAUGUGUUGACAAGGAUUCUGAGGCCCUAUGUUCAAUUAGCUAUGUCAGCUAUGAGGAUUGACAUAAGGAGCAGCAGCCUGAAUUCAGACAUUAAUCAGCUCUGCUGUACAUCUUUCUCAAGUUUCUGCUUUACAUGAUCUCCCUAACAAUCUCAUCUGUUCUCAAGGCGUUAACUAUUAUUUAUAUAGAUACAAUCUAAAUACAUAUUUCUAUUCAUGACCUCUCUCAGGAGAUCCAAAUCCAACUCUCUGGAGGACAUAUUGACCUUGAUAUUUAUUUUCUAAUUACAGUGUCUUUCAUCUACAUUCUCUAUGUUACAUGAUGACUUUACCAUCUUUCAAGACCCUCAACUUAAAACCGCGGCAGCAUCUUCACUCCUUUAGUAUUUCCUCAUCACAUUUCCCUAUCAUCCACUAUGGUGUGCAACAAAUUCUUAGAAUUAAUUGCUUACACUCUGUCUGCCCCAACACAUUGUGGAUUCAUUGAACCAAAGAACCAGAUCUAAUUCAUCUCGCACCUUUAGCUUCCAAAACUGUUUCUUGUACCAAGUAGAUGCUAAGUGCCUGAGGAUGUAUUUAUAUAUACACAAAGUAUGUGUGUAUGUACAUAUAUUUAGUAUAUAAAUUAUAUGUGUGGGUGUUUUGCUGCUUCUCUUUUAACUCUUCCACCCUUUCCACCCCACGUCUCUAAUCAGUCACCCAGCUCAGUCCACUCAAGUGCUCUACAAAGACACCUAUAAAUUACAGCUCCACUUCUAGCCUAAGUAUUUUCCGCAAGUGUGGUCCCCUGGAAAACAGACUCUGAGGUAGAGACGUCAGUGCAGGAAGUUGAUUAGGAACACCUGUGGAGGUGUGCAGUUAGUAGGGUUAGGGAGAAGGAGGAGUUGGACUGAAAUACCGUCACAAUUAAAGCCUCAUCUUUUAGGGAGCUCUAGAGCUGGGAUGACCUUUAGAAAUCACACACCGUCCCAUGCAUGCGUGCACACACACCCCAUCGAUUAAUCAUGGGAUGUAAGCUGUCCUAGAGAAAUGUGAUUUGGGGCAGGGGAGUGCUCCUCAGGUGAGUGCAGGGCCCCAAAGGAGACUCGGCUGAAAUCCAUCAGCCACCAGCACUUCCUGCAACUAGGCUAACAAGCACUGUAGUCCUGAGGUGGGGAUCUUGGAAGCACACCACAGCAUUCCUUAGGCUGCCUGUGUCCUCAUCCAUUCCCACGUGACUUCUUGCCCCCACUACUGCAGGCUUUGCUAAGCAGUUUCACUGCUCCCAACCUCUUUUUUCCAAUCCAUCAUUGGCCUGCCACCCAGGCUAACUUUUCACAAGUCAAUCUGAUAUGUUCUAGAGUCAAGAUACAUGUUCGAGAGUCAACACAAUAUGUACUGUGUUGUACAAAUCCAUUAUACUGUUGUUGUACAAAUCGCAGUAUGUACAAAUCCAUUUGUGUGGGUGGGGGGAGUAUAUAUGUAUUUAUAUACUUAAGUGUGUAUGUGUGUGUAUAUGUAUAUGUUUUUUUGUUCUGCACGUAUAUGAAAGUAUCUCUGGGAAAAUCCAUAGAGACAGAAAGUAAGUUAGUGGUUGCCAGGGGUUGGAGAGAUGGAGAAAUGGGGAGUGACUGUUAAUGAAUAUGGGAGUUUCUUUUGAGUGUGAUGAAAAUGUUCUAGAAUUAGACAGUGGAGAUGGUUGCAGAGCUUUGUAAAUACACGAAAAUGCCCUGAAUUGUAUAAUUUAAAAUCAUAAUCGUAUGGUAUAUGAAUCAUAUCUUAUUUUUAAAAGUAUUUCAGAGUGGACAUAAGAAAAUGAUAGCAGUGAUUAUCAGGUUUGUGUCUUUUGUGUUGGACUGGCUUUUCAGAUUUUCUGUAAGUCAACGUAUUUUUUAAUAUUAAUUUGGGAAGGAAAUCACUUGUCUCCUCAAAGUUACUCUACUGCUUUAAAACCUUUGAAACUUCAUCCCUAUAGAAGGAGUGAAGGCCAAACUCCUGACAGUGUAAUGCAGGCUCUUUGAGAGCAGCCCCCAACCUGCUCUAACAGACACUCAUCUUUCCCUCGCCCAGGACUCUUCACCCCUGACCUCAGCCACCUCAAGUUUCUUCAUUUUCCGAAUGUGCCCUGGCCGUCCUGUCCCAGAGUCUUCGUUCCCUGCCACUUACCACCCACUCCCUUCUUUAUCUCCUUUCCCACCCAGCCUUACCUGCAUUAGUAUUUCCAGGGCCAGAUCAAAUCUCACUUCCCUAAAGUUGCAGUCGAAUGGCUCUCUGUCUUUCUAGGUCUACUACCACUUUUUUGGCAUCUGUUUUUAUAGUAUUUAUCGCAGGCUGCCAUUUUAUAUAAUCGUGUACUUUUUGUUAAGCCAAUUCACUUUUGAUUCCUCUGUUAUAUACAGCAUGUGGAGCAGAUAAUCAGUCCAACCUAAUUUUUGGUUUAAAAAUUUUAAGUGCGGAGUUCCGGUUGUGGCUCAGUGGAAA